GGGUCAGUAGGUUGGUCGUGCCACCGGUACGUACUGGUCUCACUGAUUCCUCCUUCCUGAGGAACCGUAAUGCCAUUAAUUUGGUGUUGCGGGGAAACAGGACUGUUACUUUGAAUAAAUUAGAGUGUUUAAAGCAAGCUAACGCUUGAAUACAUUAGCAUGGAAUAAUGAAAUAGGACGAUCGAUCCUAUUUUGUUGGUUUCUAGGAUUGACGUA
rnacentral:rRNA from 1 species